UACAGAGGGUGCGAGCGUUGUCCGGAAUCACUGGGCGUAAAGGGCGCGUAGGCGGCUUGAUAAGCGUGCGGUGAAAGCCCGGGGCUCAACCCCGGGUCGGCCGUGCGAACUGUCGAGCUGGAGCACUGUAGAGGCAGGUGGAAUUCCGGGUGUAGCGGUGGAAUGCGUAGAUAUCCGAAAGAACACCGGUGGCGAAGGCGGUGGUCUGGGCCUGAACUGACGCUGAGGAGCGAAGGCCAGGGGAGCAAACGGG
rnacentral:rRNA from 1 species